UUUCUUCCCUUGCAGUCAUCCAAGUCCAAACCAAGAAUGUAAGUUGUUGAUUUACCAAAAGAUUACAAUAGGAUAUAGGGUUAUUUCCAAUCUUUCAUGUAACCUUUCAAGGCCUGUCUCACUAAUCCUUAUGGUUCUCAAAACAAGCUGAAGUGUAAGUUGUAGUUCAUACCUACUAAUUGUCAUCCUUUUGAUUCAUUGAGAAUUCUGGAACUAAUGCUUUCUCAGAUAAAGCAUACGAAGC
rnacentral:lncRNA from 1 species